CUCCGCGUAGCUCAAUUGGAUAGAGCGCCGGCCUCCGAAGCCGGAAGUUGCAGGUUCGAGUCCCGCCGCGGAGG
rnacentral:tRNA from 1 species